rnacentral:rRNA from 1 species
CCGGGAAGACCCUUCCCGUGUACGGGGGGAACGCGAAGAACCUUACCUACUCUUGACAUCCAGAGAACUUAGCAGAGAUGCUUUGGUGCCUUCGGGAACUCUGAGACAGGUGCUGCAUGGCUGUCGUCAGCUCGUGUUGUGAAAUGUUGGGUUAAGUCCCGCAACGAGCGCAACCCUUAUCCUUUGUUGCCAGCGGUCCGGCCGGGAACUCAAAGGAGACUGCCAGUGAUAAACUGGAGGAAGGUGGGGAUGACGUCAAGUCAUCAUGGCCCUUACGAGUAGGGCUACACACGUGCUACAAUGGCAUAUACAAAGAGAAGCGACCUCGCGAGAGCAAGCGGACCUCAUAAAGUAUGUCGUAGUCCGGAUUGGAGUCUGCAACUCGACUCCAUGAAGUCGGAAUCGCUAGUAAUCGUAGAUCAGACGCUAAAUCCC